CCCGGGUGGUGGUUAUUCCCGGGGUAAGGGUGUGGCCCGAGUGGUAGGUAAAUCCGCUGCUCAUUGAGGGUGAGACCUGAUGCCGAGCCGAUUGUGGUGAAGUGGAUGAUCCUAUGCUGUCGAGAAAAGCCUCUAGCGAUGUUUCAUGGUGGCCCGUACCCGAAACCGACUCAGGUAGUCAGGUAGAGUAUACCGAGGCGUUCGGGUGAACUAUGGUUAAGGAACUCGGCAAAUUGCCCCCGUAACUUCGGGAGAAGGGGGGCCGCUUCUGGUGAAGGCCUUUACGGUUGGAGCUGGGGGUGGCCGCAGAGACUAGCGAGAAGCGACUGUUUACUAAAAACACAGGUCCGUGCGAAGCUGUAAGGCGAUGUAUACGGACUGACGCCUGCCCGGUGCUGGAACGUUAAGGGGACUGGUUAGCUGCACUUGUGUGGUGAAGCUGGGAACUUAAGCGCCAGUAAACGGCGGUGGUAACUAUAACCAUCCUAAGGUAGCGAAAUUCCUUGUCGGGUAAGUUCCGACCUGCACGAAUGGCGUAACGACUUCUCGGCUGUCUCAACCAUAGGCCCGGUGAAAUUGCAGUACGAGUAAAGAUGCUCGUUUCGCGCAGCAGGACGGAAAGACCCCGGGACCUUUACUAUAGCUUGAUAUUGGUGUUCGGUUCGGUUUGUGUAGGAUAGGUGGGAGACUGUGAAGCUCGCACGCCAGUGUGGGUGGAGUCGUUGUUGAAAUACCACUCUGAUCGUGCUGGAUGUCUAACCUGGGUCCGUGAUCCGGAUCGGGGACAGUGUCUGGUGGGUAGUUUAACUGGGGCGGUUGCCUCCUAAAGGGUAACGGAGGCGCCCAAAGGUUCCCUCAGCCUGGUUGGUUAUCAGGUGGUGAGUGUAAGUGCACAAGGGAGCUUGACUGUGAGACUGGCAGGUCGAGCAGGUGCGAAAGCAGGGACUAGUGAUCCGGCGGUGGCUUGUGGGAGCGCCGUCGCUCAACGGAUAAAAGGUACCCCGGGGAUAACAGGCUGAUCUUCCCCAAGAGUCCGUAUCGACGGGAUGGUUUGGCACCUCGAUGUCGGCUCGUCGCAUCCUGGGGCUGGAGUUGGUCCCAAGGGUUGGGCUGUUCGCCCAUUAAAGCGGUACGCGAGCUGGGUUUAGAACGUCGUGAGACAGUUCGGUCCCUAUCCGCUGCGCGCGUUGGAGUCUUGAGAAGGGCUGUCCCUAGUACGAGAGGACCGGGACGGACGAACCUCUGGUGUGCCAGUUGUUCUGCCAAGGGCAUGGCUGGUUGGCUACGUUCGGGAGGGAUAACCGCUGAAAGCAUCUAAGCGGGAAGCCUGCUUCGAGAUGAGGACUCCCACCCACUUGAUGGGGUAAGGCUCCCUGUAGACGACAGGGUUGAUAGGCCGGAGAUGGAAGCCUAGUGAUGGGUGGAGUUGACCGGUACUAAUAGGCCGAGGGCUUGUCCAUA
rnacentral:rRNA from 2 species